GUCCGUAUCGAUUAGGGGUUAAAUCACUUCGUUGUGGUUGGUCCGCUGGGAUUAUAGCUCCGAAGAGCCGCUGGUUCGAUUCCAGCUACGGACA